GAGCCUGAUGCAGCCAUGCCGCGUGAAUGAUGAAGGCCUUAGGGUUGUAAAAUUCUUUCGCCAGGGAUGAUAAUGACAGUACCUGGUAAAGAAGCCCCGGCUAACUUCGUGCCAGCAGCCGCGGUAAUACGAAGGGGGCUAGCGUUGUUCGGAAUUACUGGGCGUAAAGCGCACGUAGGCGGACUUUUAAGUCAGAUGUGAAAUCCCGGGGCUCAACCUCGGAACUGCAUUUGAAACUGGAAGUCUAGAGACCAGGAGAGGUUAGCGGAAUACCGAGUGUAGAGGUGAAAUUCGUAGAUAUUCGGUGGAACACCAGUGGCGAAGGCGGCUAACUGGACUGGUACUGACGCUGAGGUGCGAAAGUGUGGGGAGCAAACAGGAUUAGAUACCCUGGUAGUCCACACCGUAAACGAUGAGAGCUAGUUGUUGGCAGGCAUGCCUGUCGGUGACGCAGCUAACGCAUUAAGCUCUCCGCCUGGGGAGUACGGUCGCAAGAUUAAAACUCAA
rnacentral:rRNA from 1 species